CUUUCCUGGCUUGCUCGCGCGCUCUUUCUCGAGCGCGCGCGCGCGCACUCCCUCCCUCACUCGGGCACGCGCGCCCAGGGAGAGCCGAACGCUGUCUUGCCAUAGAAAUGCACUGGGAAAGAGAGAUGCUAGUAGCGGAAAGGCGCUGAGGAGGAGGAAGAAGGAGGAGGAGGAAGCUCUGCUCUGAAGUAACACAGCAGCAGGUUGGCCCCCCGAGCAUCGUGGUAGGCCCCUGUUCCGCCUCGGUUGGGGAGAGACGGUGCCCGGUUCUGGAUACUGGCCGAAAGGGAAGCGCCUCCGAGCGCCUUUUGCGUCUGCGAGGAAGGUAUUUGGAAACAAUCCUGCAUAUAGGCAGAACAAUUUGCCAUUGCUAUCAUGAAGAAAAGCCGGAGUGUGAUGGCGGUCACCACAGAAGGAAAUGCUAAAGAUUACUUAGAAUGUGGUCUCAGCAAGUCCUACAGUGCAUCUAGCAACACUCUUGGUAUAGAUCUCUGGAGAGGAAGAAGAUGCUGCUCUGGUAACUUACUGUUACCACCACUGUCCCAAAGACAAAGUGGAAGUGCAAGAACACCAGACAGAGAGAACAUUUCUAGACCCACAACUUUGCCUUUGCUGAACCUUCCCAGCAUUGCCAUCACCACUUAUCAGGAUAGGUUAAGAGAAAAGAGAAGAAAAAUUGAAAUGUUUGAAGACGAUGGUACAUCUAUCUCUAUAUCACAUUAUUUGUGUUUCAGCACAGUACUAAAAUACAAUGACUAUGAUUUAUGUUCAUUCAACCAAAUAAUACUUCUCAAUGUAAUUCAAUUAAACUGGCUGAAUUGUUUUAAAAUAAUGAAGAUUUUUUUCAGUUGCAUAAAUAGGCUGUGUGAACCUUUUAAAUGCCUAUUGAUAAAAAUACAGUUGUAUAUUAACAUCAUUCUAGCCUAAAAUAACUGAACCUUGAUCCUAAUUAAGGAGUUCUCUUUUGGUUAAGGUUUUGUGCAGUGAAC
rnacentral:lncRNA from 11 species